UCCAACACCAACUAAGAUUAAUUGCAUACAGAUUUCUCUGUAAAUAUAUUGAAUAAUAUAUAUAUAUUUUAACAGAGUUCAAUUUUUCAUAUUCAUUCCUACAAAAGUUCCCACGUUUUCAAAUAUACUCCUACGUACUGUUAGGAUUCGUUAGAAAAAUAUCGUUAAUCGUAAGUGAAAAUACUUAAUACUGAUUACUCAAUAAGGUGAAUUGAACUUUUUACCCUCUUAUAUUAUUUGUAAUUGAAAAAAAGAAGAACAUGAUCGUUGGAGAUUUUUAGAAGAAUACUUCUGUAUAAUUUAACAGUUGAAAUUUUUUUAGGGAUAUAUUUGUGAUGACAAAAAAAUCAUUUCGCUUAUUUUUUAUUAAAAAAUAAAUAGUGCUGUAACGGUAACAAAGCUGAGAGGCAAAUAUGAAUAUUACUAGAUUUUUGUAAGAUAAAUAUGAAAAGUUGAACUUUAUAGAGAUAUAUUUGUUAUUUAGUUAUGUUUAUAAAAAAUUAUAUGAAAUUAAUUCUAUAUAAAAUUAUAUUAUUUAUAUAAUUUAAAAAACUGUCUUAAGAUUUGUACAGAUAAAAUUAAAGUAUAAAAUUCACAUAGAUAAAAAUAAAUAAGUGUGA
rnacentral:lncRNA from 1 species